UUUUUUUUUCCUCCCGCACCGGUGAGUAGGGCGAGAUGAGCAGCCCCCGCCGCCGCCACUGCCGCCGCUCGCCGGCGGCGUCCCCGCUGGAGGACGACGACCUGCUCUCCGAGAUCCUGCUCCGCCUCCCCCCGCAGCCCUCCGCCCUCCCGCGCGCAUCGGCCGUCUGCAAGCGCUGGCGCGGCCUCGUCUGCGACCCCCGAUUCCGGCGCCGCUUCCGCCUCCGCCACCGCCGCAACCCUCCCCUCCUCGGCUUCUUCAACCGAUUCGAUCGCCUCUCCUUCCAGCCCACUCUGGACGCCCCCGACCGUGUCCCUCUCGGGCCCUUCCCCUUUCAGCGCAACGACGGCGGCUACUUCGUCUCCCUCGGAUGCCGCCACGGCCUCCUACUCGUCUUCCUUCCGGGGAUUCUCGAGGUCCUUGUGUGGGACCCCGUCACCGGAGACCGGCACCGGGUGGCCAUCCCCCCGGCGGUUGCGGAACGUGCGGCGGAGAUUGGGGUCGGCGGGGCGGUGUGUCGCGCUGCCGGAGACGCCCCGCAUUUCCAGGUGGUCCUGGCGGUGACAGACGGCAACGGCGCACAACCUAGACGAGCGCUCGCCUGUGUUUACUCGUCAAAGACCGGCUUAUGGGGAAGUCUCAUCUCGACGCCCAUGCCCUACCAGGCUCAUGGAUCCCAGUUUUCCGCCAUCGUUUGUGCCGAGGACGCCGCGCUGGCUGGAGAUUCCCUCUACUGGCCGCUUACUGGGAAAUUGAAUGGAAUUCUCGAGUUUGAUCUGGAGAAGCAGAGGCUAGCCGUGAUACGAGUGCCGGUGGAUAUGUGGGGCAAGCGAGAGCGGAAUGGCUUCAAGCUUAUACGGGCAGAGGGUGGUGUGCUAGGUUUCCUCUUCAUAUCGCACUCAGACUGCUGCGCCGCCCAGUUAUGGAAGAGGAUAACUGGUUGUGAUGGUGUUGCUUCAUGGGUGCUUGCAAGAACUAUUCAGCUGGACAAGCUGCUUUCCCUGGAACCAGAGGAGAAAGGGGGCAUAGAGAUGGUCGGGUUUGCUCAAGACAAUAGUGUGUUGUUGUUGCGGACAGUUAUCGGCCUCUUCAUGAUCCAUCUUGACUCACUGAAGUUCAAGAAGCUUUCCAACACUACCACCAUGUCUCGCUAUUUUCCAUUCGAAAGUGUCUACACUGCAGUAACAGGCAUUGGUGGUAGAAAUGAUGCAUCUGAUGUUAAUGCACAAUAAAUAAGGCGAUUGCCUGUUUAAAUACUCUGUUCUGAUGUACUGGCAGAGCAGGUUACAUUCUGGUGACUGAAAUGAAGAAAUGAGUUUUGGCUGUAGGCUCUACUGUUUUGUAUGUUUGACGCAGAUUGGCUCUCUAUGUAGCAUGCACCGGUCAGCUGUGAAGUCCAUUUGUAGGAAUUAAUUGCUUAUAAUUUGACAACUUCCGUGCUCUGCUAGUUGAAGAUUGAACGGAACAUUGACCUGCUCCAAUUCAUUAGUACUCAACCUGUCGUUCCUUUA